AGAAUCAACGCUGGCGGCGUGCCUAACACAUGCAAGUCGCACGAGAAAGGGGAGCAAUCCCUGAGUACAGUGGCGCACGGGUGAGUAACACGUGAAUCAUCUACCUCCGAGUGGGGAAUAACUGAGAGAAAUCUUAGCUAAUACCGCAUAAUACCCACGGGUCAAAGCAGCAAUGCGCUUGGAGAGGAGUUCGCGGCAGAUUAGUUAGUUGGCGGGGUAAUGGCCCACCAAGACGAUGAUCUGUAUCCGGCCUGAGAGGGCGCACGGACACACUGGAACUGAAACACGGUCCAGACUCCUACGGGAGGCAGCAGUGGGGAAUUUUGCGCAAUGGGGGAAACCCUGACGCAGCAACGCCGCGUGGAGGAUGAAGCCCCUUGGGGUGUAAACUCCUUUCGAUCGGGAAGAUAAUGACGGUACCGAUAUAAGAAGCCCGGCUAACUUCGCGCCAGCAGCCGC
rnacentral:rRNA from 1 species